rnacentral:rRNA from 1 species
AACGAAUGCUGGUGGCGUGCUUAACACAUGCAAGUCGAACGAGAAAGCUCCUUCGGGGGUGAGUAGAGUGGCGCACGGGUGAGUAAUAAAUAGGAACGUACCUACGGGUGGGGGACAACCACGGGAAACUGUGGCUAAUACCGCGUAAUGUCGAAAGACCAAAGAGUGCCUCUGCUUGCAAGCAUUCACCUGUAGAUCGGCCUAUUUCUCAUUAGCUUGUUGGUGGGGUAAAGGCCUACCAAGGCGACGAUGGGUAGCUGGUCUGAGAGGAUGAUCAGCCACACUGGAACUGAGACACGGUCCAG